rnacentral:rRNA from 1 species
GUCCUACGGGACGCAGCAGUAGGGAAUCUUCCACAAUGGGCGAAAGCCUGAUGGAGCAACGCCGCGUGAGUGAAGAAGUAUUUCGGUAUGUAAAGCUCUAUCAGCAGGGAAGAAAAUGACAGUACCUGACUAAGAAGCCCCGGCUAACUACGUGCCAGCAGCCGCGGUAAUACGUAGGGGGCAAGCGUUAUCCGGAUUUACUGAGUGUAAAGGGAGCGUAGACGGCUGCGCAAGUCAGAAGUGAAAGCCCGGGGCUCAACCGCGGGACUGCUUUUGAAACUGUGUAGCUAGAGUGCAGGAGAGGG